UUAGUGGCGGACGGGUGAGUAACGCGUGGGUAACCUGCCAUAUACAGGGGGAUAACACUUAGAAAUAGGUGCUAAUACCGCAUAAGCGCACAGUUUUGCAUGAGACGGUGUGAAAAACUACGGUGGUAUAUGAUGGACCCGCGUCUGAUUAGCUUGUUGGUGGGGUAACGGCCCACCAAGGCGACGAUCAGUAGCCGGCCUGAGAGGGUGGACGGCCACAUUGGGACUGAGACACGGCCCAAACUCCUACGGGAGGCAGCAG
rnacentral:rRNA from 1 species